UAUGUCAAACACUAUAUAAAAGGUGUUCCCCAGGUCUAGUAUCUAUACCGUGGAAACAUUCAACAAAAAAGCAUUUCAUUAAUGAAACAUUGGGCAAAAUCAGCCAUGAAGUGUGUUGUUAUUAUUCUCUUCAUGCUGGCUAUAGCAUCUGCCGAAUACCUCGAAGAUCAUGAGCUGACAAAAAGAGUAACCUGUCACUGUAAAGGUGAGAGUGGAACAUACUGGUUUGGCAUCGCCGAGUGUCAUGACCCAUCUAAUUUACAAUGUUCUGCCUUUAUGGGAGUUUGCUGUGUGCCACUCAAGGGAAAGCAGGCUUAAAUCAAGUAUCGACAACAGUCUCGCACUCUAAUGAUGCCAAAGAAACUCGGUUUAAUAAUGUUGCAAAACUAUAAGGACGAGAAAAAAGUACUUAAAAAUGAGAUUAAAUAAACAUGAACAAAAACUA